rnacentral:rRNA from 1 species
GACGAACGCUGGCGGCGUGCUUAACACAUGCAAGUCGAACGGAAAGGCCCUGCUUUUGUGGGGUGCUCGAGUGGCGAACGGGUGAGUAACACGUGAGUAACCUGCCCUUGACUUUGGGAUAACUUCAGGAAACUGGGGCUAAUACCGGAUAGGAGCUCCUGCUGCAUGGUGGGGGUUGGAAAGUUUCGGCGGUUGGGGAUGGACUCGCGGCUUAUCAGCUUGUUGGUGGGGUAGUGGCUUACCAAGGCUUUGACGGGUAGCCGGCCUGAGAGGGUGACUGGCCACAUUGGGACUGAGAUACGGCCCAGACUCCUACGGGAGGCAGCAGUGGGGAAUAUUGCACAAUGGGCGGAAGCCUGAUGCAGCAACGCCGCGUGCGGGAUGACGGCCUUCGGGUUGUAAACCGCUUUCGCCUGUGACGAAGCGUGAGUGACGGUAAUGGGGAAAGAAACACCGGCUAACUACGU